rnacentral:rRNA from 1 species
AUACGGAGGAUCCAAGCGUUUUCCGGAUUAAUUGGGUUUAAAGGGUGCGUAGGCGGACUGGUAAGUCAGCUGUGAAAGUUUGCGGCUUAACCGUAAAAUUGCAGUUGAUACUGUCAGUCUUGAGUGGGCAUGAGGUGGGCGGAAUUUGUGGUGUAGCGGGGAAAUGCUUAGAUAUCACGAGGAACUCCAAUUGCGAAGGCAGCUCACUGGGGCAUAACUGACGCUGAUGCACGAAGGUGUGGGUAUCAAACAGGAUUAGAUACCCUGGUAGUCCACACAGUAAACUAUGAAUACUCGCUGUUUGCGAUAUACAGUAAGCGGCCAAGCGAAAGCAUUAAGUAUUCCACCUGGGGAGUACGCCGGCAACGGUGAAACUCAAAUGAAUUGGCGGGG